rnacentral:rRNA from 1 species
UGCAUAUCAAAAAGCGGAGGAAAAGAAACUAACAAGGAUUCCCCUAGUAACGGCGAGUGAAGCGGGAAGAGCUCAAAUUUGAAAUCUGGUGGCCUCAGGUCAUCCGAGUUGUAAUCUAUAGAAGUGUUUUCCGUGCUGGCUCAUGUACAAGUCCCUUGGAACAGGGCGUCAUAGAGGGUGAGAAUCCCGUCCUUGACAUGAACUACCAGUGCUCUGUGAUACAUUUUCAACGAGUCGAGUUGUUUGGGAAUGCAGCUCAAAAUGGGUGGUAAAUUCCAUCUAAAGCUAAAUAUUGGCGAGAGACCGAUAGCGAACAAGUACCGUGAGGGAAAGAUGAAAAGCACUUUGGAAAGAGAGUUAAACAGUAUGUGAAAUUGUUGAAAGGGAAACGAUUGAAGUCAGUCGUGCUCUUUGGAUUCAGCCGGUUCUGCCGGUGUACUUCCUUUGAGUGGGGUCAACAUCAGUUUUGAUCGCUGGAUAAAGGCUGGAGGAACGUAGUACCCUCGGGUAAACUUAUAGCCUCCUGUCACAUACAGUGGUUGGGACUGAGGAACGCAGCACGCCUUUAUGGCCGGGAUUCGUCCACGUACGUGCUUAGGAUGUUGACAUAAUGGCUUUAAACGACCCGUCUUGAAACACGGACCCA